UAGGGAAUAUUGCGCAAUGGGGGAAACCCUGACGCAGCGACGCCGCGUGAGUGAUGAAGGCCUUCGGGUCGUAAAGCUCUGUCGUAUGGGAAUAACAUAAUGAAUGUACCAUGCAAGAAAGGAUCGGCUAACUUCGUGCCAGCAGCCGCGGUAAGACGAGGGAUCCUAGCGUUGUUCGGAAUCAUUGGGCGUAAAGCGGGUGUAGGCGGGCUUUUAAGUCAGAUGUGAAAUCCCAGGGCUCAACCCUGGA
rnacentral:rRNA from 1 species